rnacentral:rRNA from 1 species
UCCUGGCUCAGAUUGAACGCUGGCGGAAUGCUUUACACAUGCAAGUCGAACGGCAGCACGGACUUCGGUCUGGUGGCGAGUGGCGAACGGGUGAGUAAUGUAUCGGAACGUAUCCAGUAAUGGGGGAUAACUAAUCGAAAGGUUGGCUAAUACCGCAUACGCCCUACGGGGGAAAGCAGGGGAUCUUCGGACCUUGCGUUAAUGGAGCGGCCGAUAUCUGAUUAGCUAGUUGGUGAGGUAAGAGCUCACCAAGGCGACGAUCAGUAGCUGGUCUGAGAGGACGACCAGCCACACUGGAACUGAGACACGGUCCAGACUCCUACGGGAGGCAGCAGUGGGGAAUUUUGGACAAUGGGCGCAAGCCUGAUCCAGCCAUUCCGCGUGAGUGAAGAAGGCCUUCGGGUUGUAAAGCUCUUUCGCAAGGGAAGAAACGAUGCAGACGAAUAAUCUGUGUUAAUGACGGUACCUUGAUAAGAAGCACCGGCUAACUACGUGCCAGCAGCCGCGGUAAUACGUAGGGUGCAAGCGUUAAUCGGAAUUACUGGGCGUAAAGCGUGCGCAGGCGGUUUUGUAAGUCAGAUGUGAAAUCCCCGAGCUCAACUUGGGAACUGCGUUUGAAACUAC